rnacentral:lncRNA from 1 species
GAAGCACUUGACAUAGUAAAUUGUGAAACUGCAACAUAAAGAUAUAGUGAUAGACCAUUGAACAUCUGCUAUAUUCCAUGUUAGAGACAUGAUGACAUAGAGAUAGGCCUUUGAGACAUUCGACGUAUAUUCCAUGUUUUUAGACAUUAGGACUUGGUACUUGAGACAGAUCUUUCGCUUGCUUGCCAUUGUGCUCAUUCGCACAUGCUUGUGAGGGUCGCUCCCUACAAGCCGGCACUCCGGAGAUAGCCAUCGCGACAUAUGCUCGCUCAUGCGGGAUUGGGCGCCGAAAUAGGAUGCCGUGGGGGAGGCUCAUUCCUAGAGUGGGGAUGUUGACUACCACGGGGCCAUUAGACACGGCGCAGGCCGGACUACCCACUAGUAGGUCCUACAGGAUUGGAUCAUUGAUGACUUAGCAUACCGACUGGACAUUGACUAGAAUAGUAAACAAGACAUUUUACUAUUUAGCUUGUGGACAUUAUGCUAGUGAUACUUUGGUACAUUCAUGUUAGAAUAGUC